UAGUGGCGGACGGGUGAGUAACGCGUGGGUAACCUACCCUGUGCAGGGGGAUAGCAGCUGGAAACGGCUGAUAAAACCGCAUAACACGGCGAUGCCGCAUGGCAAUGCCGUCAAAUAUUUAUAGGCACAGGAUGGGCCCGCGUCUGAUUAGCUAGUUGGCGGGGCAACGGCCCACCAAGGCGACGAUCAGUAGCCGGCCUGAGAGGGUGAACGGCCACAUUGGGACUGAGACACGGCCCAAACUCCUACGGGAGGCAGCAGUGGGGAAUAUUGGACAAUGGGGGAAACCCUGAUCCAGCGACGCCGCGUGAGUGAAGAAGUAUUUCGGUAUGUAAAGCUCUAUCAGUAGGGAAGAUAAUGACGGUACCU
rnacentral:rRNA from 1 species